rnacentral:rRNA from 1 species
AGAGUUUGAUCCUGGCUCAGAUUGAACGCUGGCGGCAUGCUUUACACAUGCAAGUCGAACGGUAACAGGUUAAGCUGACGAGUGGCGAACGGGUGAGUAAUGCAUCGGAACGUGCCCGGUCGUGGGGGAUAACGCAGCGAAAGCUGCGCUAAUACCGCAUACGAUCUGAGGAUGAAAGCGGGGGACCGUAAGGCCUCGCGCGAUCGGAGCGGCCGAUGUCAGAUUAGGUAGUUGGUGGGGUAAAGGCUCACCAAGCCGACGAUCUGUAGCUGGUCUGAGAGGACGACCAGCCACACUGGGACUGAGACACGGCCCAGACUCCUACGGGAGGCAGCAGUGGGGAAUUUUGGACAAUGGGCGCAAGCCUGAUCCAGCAAUGCCGCGUGCAGGAAGAAGGCCUUCGGGUUGUAAACUGCUUUUGUACGGAGCGAAAAGGUCUUCCCUAAUACGGGAGGCUGAUGACGGUACCGUAAGAAUAAGCACCGGCUAACUACGUGCCAGCAGCCGCGGUAAUACGUAGGGUGCGAGCGUUAAUCGGAAUUACUGGGCGUAAAGCGUGCGCAGGCGGUUUUGUAAGACAGGCGUGAAAUCCCCGGGCUCAACCUGGGAAUGGCGCUUGUGACUGCAAAGCUGGAGUGCGGC